AAUCAACGCUGGCGGCGUGCCUCAGACAUGCAAGUCGAACGCGAAAUUCCGAGCAAUCGGGAAAGUAGAGUGGCGCACGGGUGAGUAACACGUAGGUAAUCUACCUUUGGAUGGGGAAUAACAACCGGAAACGGUUGCUAAUACCGCAUAAUGCAGCGGCACCUAAUGGUGACAGUUGUUAAAGCGGGGGAUCGAAAGACCUCGCGUCUAAAGAGGAGCCUGCGGCGGAUUAGCUAGUGGUAAGGUAAUGGCUUACCAAGGCUACGAUCCGUAACCGGCCUGAGAGGGCGGUCGGUCACACUGACACUGACAUACGGGUCAGACUCCUACGGGAGGCAGCAGUCGGGAAUUUUGGGCAAUGGGCGAAAGCCUGACCCAGCAACGCCGCGUGAAGGAUGAAAUCCCUCGGGAUGUAAACUUCGCAAGAACGGGAAGAAUAAGCGAAAGUUAAUAUCUUUCGUGAUGACGGUACCGUUUGUAAGCUCCGGCUAACUCCGUGCCAGCCGCCGCAGU
rnacentral:rRNA from 1 species